AUCUCCUCCUGAGACGGUGCCGCGAUGAUCAGGUCGUCGACAUAUGACAUGACUAGCGUCGGCUUCGAAUGUCUCGACUUUCACCGCACAUAAAGCCCCCAGUCGAAGUCGCAGGAUUUGAACCCUUGGGCUAUCAUCGCCUCUUUUAACUGAAUCCACCACACCCUUCCCGAUUGUUUCAACCCAUAUAAUGAUGCUUUUAACCUCAACACAUUACACCCUUCCUUCGGCUUGACUGCCUGAGGAUACCUCAUAUAGAUCUCCUCAUCAAGCCGACUGUUCAGAUAUGCACUUUUAACAUCGGCCUGAGCAAUGUCGAGGUUUUCUUUGGCGGUUAUAAUGAGUACUAGGCGAAAAGUGGAAAGCUGCGAGGUUGGAGCGAAACGGUCGACCUGGCUGUCCCUGUUCAACUUCUUCUUGAAGACCCACUUUACCCCAACUGCUUUCUUGCCUUUCGGAAGAUUGGUCUCCUCCCACACAUCUUUGUCCUUUAUGACCUUCAAUUCUUCAUCCAUGGCCCUCUGCCAAUCGAUCCAAUCGGCCGCCACCAAUGCCUCUUUUGCUGUCUUGGGAUCGUCGCCCUCAGCAGAUGUCACCUGAUUCAGGAUGUAAUCACUAGCCAAAUGACUCGGUAUUCUGGUGUCACGCUUUGAUCGUUGCUGAGGGUUUGUCGGUCGUGAUUGGAUGGUGUCUUUGUUGGAUGAAUGAUCGAAUGGCGUUUCUACUGGCAGAGCUAGCUGAUGCUUGUUGUGGACCUUGCUUUGCCCUUCCUGCUCCUCCCAAUCCUCUUCAUCAUCUUCGACAUUAUCACCCUUUAUAUCUGCAAACUUCACGACCUUUCUCAUUGUUGCCUCACUUGGUGGGACCGCCGCUACCUGCAUAGGCUUCCCUGGCAGCUCUUUGUCGAUGAUGAAUGGUGUAUCUGCUGCUGUAACCAAGUCUGAGGACCUUUCUAUUUUGUUGGUGUUCUCCAUCAACACAACCCAGCCCGUCUUCUCAAUAUCUAACCCCAAUAACUGUGCUUUCGUCGCCUUCGCCAUGUCAAAACUAUUCUUUGCUCAUACCUCCUUCGGGAUGUGAAUGAAGC
rnacentral:sRNA from 1 species